AUAUAGUUGGACGCAUUUAACAGAGUUUACACACAUAUUUUGCCCGUGUCUUAUUCUAAACAAUUGGAUCAAAAGCCACCUCCAGCUGUUAUCACACAUAUCAUUUGUGAAGUCGUAACUAAUGUACAAGAUUUUUUGACAAACGCGUCACCUGUCAGAAUGGUCGGCAUGAGCAUGAGCUGUGAAAAGAUAUGUAUUGAAGAUAUUGCUGAUAGGCUGUUAAAAGUAUCGGGGUGUCCUACAACUGUUUACUGGUCGUCAAACCCGCUCCCACACAAGGAACUUACUUCUCAACGAGGAACAACAAACUUCUUUGAAAGAAAACCAAGCGAACACCAAUUACAUUCAGUUGCACUCUGAAUCGUAUUUGUGAAUAAAAUUAUUUGUCAAUGACUUAUUCGUCAUUAUAAGAAUACUUUAUUUUAAAAAUGUAAUGUAUUUCAAUUCUAAAUAAAUUAUACUAUCAUACUUUUCAUA